AGGUUGGUGGCACAAUGGUGGGGCAGUUAGUGCUGUUUUCUUGCAAUAAAGUGGUUUCAGGUUCAAGUCCUGCUUGGCCAA